ACCUUGCCUGUUAUCAGUCACCUUUACGCACAGUUUGGAGUCACGUUUAUUUUUAUUGUACCAGCAGCCAUGUGGGUCUCUUCCCUUCUAGGAGGCAACUCUGGUUGACUCUCCACUCCCACACUGCGGGAAUUGAGGCGCGCAGGGAACAGUUUCUACUGCUGUCCUCCCCAUUACCUCCUCCACCGGGGCUUCAGUUACCACCUCUCUGGAAGGACUUGUACUGCUGAUGGUCGGCAGCUCCGUAUCGCCAGCCGUGACUCUGCCCUGAAAUCUAGCCCGAGGGAGCCAACUGCCUGUUUUGUCAGAUAACACCGACAAAAAUAGCAGCCAUUUGUUGAGCUCACACUAUGUGUCAAGGACUGUGCUCAGUAGAUUCUAUUACUGAUCUAUUUUAUAGAUGAGGAAGCUGAGGCUGAGAGAUCAAGGAGGUGGCCAAGUUUACAGAGCUAGCAAGAUGGGGAGCAGCAGUCAAACUGCGGGUUGUCUGACUUCACUGCCCAGGCUUCUCAUGCUGUGCUAGAGCUGACUCCAAGACAACAUGCUGAUGGGGAAAGCUAGAUUUGAGACAGUUAAAGAAAUAACCAAAGAAGGAAACUCCUGUGUCACUUCACAGUGCCUGCUUGUGAUGGCAGAGUCAGCAUGGGACCUUCAGAGACGCUGGCCGGUUCGGGGCCUGCAGGUCUCAAUGGCAGGCCUCUUCCUGAACAUGCACCACAUCAUACACCUCAGAAUGACCUCUACCUGUUCCCAGAGCUCAGGGUGAAGAUUUAUUCUGGCUUGAGAUGAACAGCUUCAAUCCUGAUGCUUGAAAAACAAGUCGACGAGAAUGUGGGCUGUGGAGCCAGAAGUAUCCAAGUUCAAGUCCCAGCUCUGGCACUUGUUGGCUCUGUGACCUUGAGACGUGAACUCAACCUCUUUGAGUCGAGUGUCUGCUUUGAUGAAAUGGGGACAUCGAUACCUUUGUGGCUGGGUUUGUGGUGAGGAUUCCAUGGAAGCUCAAUUAUUAGAAGGCGUUCUUAUUUAUCUUCAGGAAGUGCCCAUUUUGCAGAUGAGAAGGACUGAGUGAGGCUCAAGGUGUAGGCCCAGGUUGGCUGUGUUCUGCAAGGUUUCUGCAAGGCCUUGGCUUUUGGUGCAUGUGGAGGAAUCUGAACACUAGCCUGCUUUUGCACAGUGUAAUCUUGUCUGAGCCCUUUGUGGCUGUGAAAUGGGGAAAAGUACCCAUGCCAGGCUGCUCAGAGAAGCCAGUGAUGCUGCUCACAUGAGGCCCUGGCUCUGCACCUGGGGUAGAAUUGGCCCUCCGAAGAAUGACUGUUGCUGCCCUCUCUUUUUCUCCCCUGCCUCACUUUACCCCUAAACCAGUGGGCAGCACAGAUACCUUCUCUGCUUCGACAUGGAGCCUAGAGUGGGAGCCCAGAGAGGGAGCCCAUCUUGCCCAGGGCCCCUCAUUCAGGGCCUCUGAGGUGAAUAUUUUAUUCUUAUUCAUGAAUGAGGAAGAUUGGAUUAGGAGGAGGUGGACUAAGAUUAA